ensembl:misc_RNA Metazoa_SRP Metazoan signal recognition particle RNA
GCCAGGCGCGGUGGCUCACGCCUGUAAUCCCAGUACUUUGGGAGGCCGAGGUGGGUGGAUCACCUGAGGUCAGGAGUUCGAGACCAGCCUGACCAACAUGGAGAAACCCCAUCUCUA